UCAGGAGUCUCAACAUGGCAGGCAGGACGGCAGCAUUGCAGCAAAGCAGCCCUGAAUGAACACCAAGCAAAAGGAGAGGCCCUGGCGGAGUUGUGGCUCCACAGUGAGGGCAAUAUGUAUUCCCCCAGAUGUUAGCCCUGCACUGCCUGGAUUAUGGAUGUCAUGCACUGUGUCCACCCAGCUCUCCUUUGAGCAGAAUGUGCAACAUCCCUGGGAGGUACCUCUCAAAGACAGUCUGAUUUGGGGGUACCACAAGGACUCUCCCUAAUGUUGCUGUGAUCACAACGUUUGAAAGAUAAAGAUGCAGAACACAUAUUCAUCGAGGACAAUGCUUAGUAGAACAGCCUGAUAUAUCUCAUGUUUCUCCUACUGAUGCCCAGGAUGCUCAUUCAUGCCUGUAGCAAAGAAGAGAUGCUUAGGUGGCAUGGUGAACACAAGACUAAGGACAAGAGGACAAUGGUAAUGGACAGAUAACAGCAGUACAUGCUUUCUUCAUCUCUUUCGGAAAGACACGUGCACGCUGCCUGGUCCAUAUGGUUCUGCAUUCAAGAACUGUAGGAGUGCCUUCAACCAAUUCUCUGCAGUGUUUUAUCCCUACAAACUAUAGUGGAAUCAUGAGUGUUGACCAGACUGACAGUUCCUGCCCACCUGUCAUCUAACCACUUGAAGGAGGGGUUCAAAUGCACAUAUUGACAGCCAGCAGAGAGGAUGCUCUCUGUUACUAGCACCCAAUGCAAAGAUAUUAAUUUAAGUAAGAAUUUUCGUGGUGGGAAGAAAGAUUGUUCUUUGUGCAUGCUCAGAGAGAAAGACCAGUGAGUGGUCUUUCUCAUGUCUCUGCCAGGUGAAUGGCAAUGAAGGUUUCUCUCUUCUUUUUUUUGUUUGUUUGUUUGUUUUUGGCCAGGUAUCUGUCAGAGUACUCUCUGGGUGCAUACAGUUUACAAAGUCCCUAUUAAAGUUGAUAAAACGAAAAGAAACCUGGUUUAAUUAUUGUAAUUAACCCUCUAAUAAUCUUAUUGAUGGUCAGAACGAAAAAGCACCUACAUGCAUUCUUAUACCUCCUUCUGACUAAAAUGUUCUCUUUUCUUCCAGCUCAUAACCCAUGUAGAAAAUAUCUUGGCACUCUUGUUUUUUUCAUGCUAACAUGCUUAUUGUUUAUCUAUUACAGAUAAUUAUCUCAUUACCUUUGAAUUUUAGAAUGCCACAGUUAUGCUCUGAUAACACCCCACUGAAGUAAAGAAUAACUAUUAUAACCAUUUCAAAGAUGGGCAUUAAAAAAGGUGUAAAGACUCAAGGUAGUUUCUUCAUAAUAAGGCAGCUGAAAUGGAACUGAAUCUGAGGCACAUAUUCUCAUCAUCUAGGUUUUCUCUAUGCUAAGCAGAGAGAAAGGAGAUACUUUCAGAUGUUCUAAGGAGGAUAAGCACCAUGAGUAUGUGUCUUUCCUCUGAAAGUAGAAAGGAUUAAGGCUUUUAGGUUUAAUUAUAUUUAAUUUAGGUAAAUAAAACAUUGUUUAGGUAAAAUGAAUUCCAUCCCACGUAACUUCCUUAAAAUUCCACAGGAUGUCUUCAGUGGAUCAUAACCUGAGUCUUUUGGGUCCAGACUUAAUUAUAACUGCUUACACUUGAGAAUUUCCAAAACAGCAGUCAUAUGAUUUUGGCUCACUUCCUUCUAAGCUGGAAGAUUCUGAUCAAGAUAAAGUAUAGAAAAAGUCAGAUCAUUUGGAAUCAUAAAAGGAAGAAUAACCACCUGAGGAUGAUACUUAUGUAACUCCAUUUUUCUCUGGUUUCUUUAUCCUUAUGUAAGACAGGAAUUAGCAUGAGAGUGGGCAUUUAUUGCAGGUCAUAAACAUCCUCCAUGAAUGGAUAUUCAGAGUGACAACAAUUUCCUGGUCUAGAGUAAUUUUAGCUGCCCUUCAGCAUUGCAUUAUGUCACAUUUGGUUACACAUAUAUGAUAACACACCCCAACAUGACACCUUAGUGAAGUAUACUGGCUUGGUAUGAGGACAUAACGCAUAAAUGGAAAGUGCCUGGAUAGGAAAGCCAUGUAUCAUGCCCCAAAACAGAACCUGCAAAGAAGAAAAAGGACAGGAUUCAAACCUGAUCAGAUCAGGCAGAAACAUGGCCAAAACAUUUAUAGCUGCAGUCUUGAAUGUAAGAAAUUAGUAGAAGGAACCUCAUUGUUAAUUUCCAGCAGCAUGCAGGAGCACAUAGUGCAAUAGAGAGUUGUUUAUGCAUAGAUCCCUGAAAACACGUGCAUAGUAUUACACAUCAAUCUCCUAAUAAGGCCAAAGGGAGGGGAAAGUAGUGCAGUACAGUGUGUGCAUACAGGAGUCACAGGCUCAAUAUGUGCUUAAGUAUGCUGGGUCAUAAAGCAGACUGCAUUAGGAUACUAGACUUCUGGCAGGAAAUAUGCUGUCUAGUUUCUCCUUUGAAUGUAGAGUUUCACAUUGAAUCAUCAGUAACAUGCUCAAUGCCACUGAUGGGCAACACUGCAAUCCCUCCAUAGCUAAGGAUUUAUGCCAAGAUACAACAGCCUUCAGUAUGAAAGGCACUGUAGAAUCAUAGAAUCAUAGAAUGUCCUGAGUUGGAAGAGACCCACAAGGAUCAUCAAGUCCAACUGCUGUCCCUGCACAGGACAAUCCCAAAUUCACACCAUGUCUCUGAGGGCGUUGUCCAAGUGCUUCUUGAAUAUCAUCAGGCUUGGUGCCGUGACUGCCUCCCUGGGGAGCCUGUUCCAGUGCUCCACCACCUUCUGGGGGAAGAACCUUUACCUAAUAUCCAACCUAAACCUCCCCUGGCACAUCUUCCUGCCAUUCCCUCCAGUCCUAUCACUAAGAAGAUAGAAAAUACAGAGCAAAUAGGCAAAUGUGUGAUUUUUCUACUUACAGCAAAAGAUUUGACAGGCCAGGGUACAUGCUUGACCAAAAGCUUGUUAAAGACAACAAUAGACAAGUCCUGAUUACACCAGGAGUACGAUUUUAUUACCACACCUUGUGGUGACUGAAAAAACAGAUAGUGCAAAAGUUUUAUCAUAUCAAGUGACAGACCCUUGUGGAGACAAAAAGGAAAAUUAACUACCUCAUCUCUGCAUUUCUCUUUUGUUAUUAUUUUGUGGUCUAUUUAUUAAGGAUCCAUGUCUGAAACUAUUAUCAGAAACUAUUUCUGUCCAAUGAAUUACACUUUUUCUCCAGGCUUGAAAUACUGGAAGCUUUCAGUACCUUGGUUUAUGGUGACUGAAUGAUCCUCACAAAGACUUGAUCUGGGUGUAUGAGAUUUGUGUGGUGACUAAUCAUUUUUCUAUAAUCAAACAACUCAGUUGCUUGACCUGUUUGAAAAGCUUAGAAUUAAAAAUAAAAUAAAAUAAAAUAAAUAAAAUAAAAUAAAAUAAAAUAAAAUAAAAUAAAAUAAAAUAAAAUAAAAUAAAAUAAAAUAAAAUAAAAUAGAAAGAAUAAUUCUGGGAAUUUCAACACUCAUUCAGCUCACAGUCUUGCUUAUUAAAACUAACAAUUUUUCAAAAUCAUUUCUGCUGAUGUAGUUCUAACCUUUUUUCAGCUUAGCUUGGGGAUACAGCCAGUUUCUCUUGCACAGGCAAACCUUGACCCAUAACCCACAUGCUCUUCCAUUUCUUUCCAUAAAUAUACAUUAUUAUAGUAGAAUAUUGGGAUCUGUGAGUUGAAAAAGCCUUAUUCUAUAUUAUUUUACUUUUAAAAAGUAUUCUGUAGGAUAUCCUCUUCAUUCUUACUCUGCAAAAUCUCACUCUCCCAUAUGCUGCCAUUUUCACUGAUGAAAAAAGCCAUUUCAUUUUUUUCCUUUCAGAAGCAUAGUAGAAAUCGAGUGUACUUCAGGAUUAUUUUUUCUCCAAAAUGUCUAAGUCAUUCAUUUACUAACUCUUGAAGUCAGACAAGUUGUGCAGAAGUACUUUAUGCAGUCAGUUUGAUAAAUUUCAGACUGUACUGGUAGAGGAAUGUGAAUAAUGGAAAAAUUAUUCACAAAUAUAUUAUCCCAAAACCUUAAAGAAACCAUACAUAUUAAGUUCUCUUACUUAUUCCAGAAAAGGAAUAAAUGAUAAAUAAAUAUUUCAGGAGCAAUUCAUUCAAAUAAUUUAUUUUUAAAUUGUCUAUGCCACGAUCCAAAGUCUAUUGAAAUAAUUGAUCUCACUUCUGUCUGCUCAGCUCCGUAAUGAAAUACACAAGAAGCCCUAGUAUUUGAGUCAUGCUCUUUCCACUGCUUUCAACUUUUAACCUGCUUUAAAGAGUUCCUUCAUGCACUAAGUAUUCCCUUUUAUUUUCAGCUUUCCCAUACCUUCAGUUUUCCUGCCCAAAAUUUUUUACAGUUUAAAGAUAUUAGAAUUACAAAUAUGUGUGACACAAUUAUUUUUAAAAUUAUUCUGAUGGUACUUUAUAUUUUUUAUUUUAUGAAUCAGUAGCAAUUAGAUCACAACUGUCUAUUUUGUGGCUAGUUUAGGAAUUGAUUUAUGUUGAAUAUAAAUACAUGAAAAUUGUUCUACUUUGCUUUUCCAUACCUUUAUAACUAAGCCUUCAUCACUGUAAAAGAAAAAACUGUGGGGUUAAUUUUUAAGUGUGCAUAGAUUCAAAUAAGAAAUGAAAUAGAUCUUCAGCAGAGCACAGGAGCAAAAGGCAAUAAAGUCCCAUAUAACCCAAAACCUGAGUAGGGAAACCUUCUUGUAGGUUGUGGGAGCCUGGAAUUAAUUUCCUGUCUGAGAGGAACUGGAGAAUGUCUCCCUUCUGGCUCAGUUUCUCUUUAGAUCCAUCUAUGUUAGGAUACUUGCACUGCUUACACGUCAUUCCAUUUUACUUGUAGGUCUAUAAAGGGAAUAGAGACAUCACAUCACAAAGUUCUGCAGCACCUAACUUUUACAACAGCCAGAUUAGGCAGUAGCUUCUUUAUGAAAUACACAAAGAGUUUUAGGAAUGGGAGCUGCAAAAGCCAUUGCACAGUUCAGUGCAUUAAGCUAGGAACUAAGAAAGACUAGGGAAAUAAUGUGGUUUUGCACCCUUUUUAGUGUCUUUCUGCUAGUUUUAAACGAUUCCUUUUUUAUUCAAAAUCAAAGAAGGAGUAGUCAUUUUUUAGGAAAGAGAAACUUUAACUAACCAGCUCCUCAAGGGCUAGGAUGUUGAUUUAGCAUGUAGGGUACCUCCUUUCAGUUCCUCACUCUACCUGAAGCAAUUUAAGCUUGCUUUUUUUUAGAUAAACCAGGGUAGUAUACAUAUAUUUAUUCAACAAACCAACGAAUGAGCAUGCACUGUUUUAGCCUAGUCAACAGAGCAUUUGCCUAAGAGAGGUAAACUUGAAUCCCAUCCCUGAUUCCAAAGGCCUGUAUUUUUAUCUGAAGUAUUUAAUGGAGCAGGGGCCAGAUGUAGAACCAGAGUAUUCCCAAGUGAUUUUCUUAAAUGUAGUAUAAAGUCACGUCCAUCUUCUCUGGUCCAAUGAGUGUUGAACUAUUGCAAGUAACAUGUAGAUAUCUUCAGGAAGGUAUUCAGAAUACCUUAGAGUCCAGUAAUAAAAGUAUUCACAGAAGAAAUGUGGUUUCAAAUCUUUGCAGCCAGGAGAGGCAGUUAUCCCCAUUUCUCCUCUGCCUCCUUGCCUUGCUCCUUAACAUGAAGCUAUUGAAACACACAUGAUUUAAGAAGAUUUUUGUAUCUUGAUUAGAGACAACUGUUUCUCCUCAGUCCGUCUUAAGUUAUUUGCAGGGCAACUCUACAUCUGAAGACAUAACUCCAUGGUGCACUCAGGGCAUGUAAUUAAGUGAGACUGUUCUGAGCACACAGGGUAACUGAGCAGCACUUCUGCAGUGAGUCUAGUGCAUUGAUGUAUUGCGCUGGUGAUAGGUCUUCUAAAUAGGAACUUCGCCUCUCGCUUCAAGAUGAUGUCUCCCUCUCUGCUCUGUACAGUGAUUCAUGUACAUCUGCAAGAGUGUCAGAGGCUGAGCCAAAGUCCUCCACUUAGCAUAUUUUACAAUCUAUGUUAGUGGCUAUUCAUUCAAUACUAUGUUUGCUGUUAGUUCAUUUAUGUGACUGUCUCCAAAUAUUUUAUAAAGUGCUCUGUAUCUAGCUUAAACACUUGCUGCUUUGCUAAGUACCAUGGUACUUCUGUCCUUGUGUAGAUUUAGCCCCAGGUGUUCCAGUCAAUUUGAAUAUUUGAUGUCAUUUUCAACACACACAAAAAUCCAUGUCUAAUUUAAACCUCUCAAAUUCUUAUUUCAUCAAAGAUGU